CCUCUCGGGGUUACAGCCUUGCUGAAUUAUUCACCCUUGUCUUUUGCGUACUUCUUGUUUCCUUGGUGGGUUCGCCCACCACUAGGACAAACAUAAACCUUUUGUAAUUGCAAUCAGCGUCAGUAACAAAUUAAUAAUUACAACUUUCAACAACGGAUCUCUUGGUUCUGGCAUCGAUGAAGAACGCAGCGAAAUGCGAUAAGUAGUGUGAAUUGCAGAAUUCAGUGAAUCAUCGAAUCUUUGAACGCACAUUGCGCCCUUUGGUAUUCCAAAGGGCAUGCCUGUUCGAGCGUCAUUUGUACCCUCAAGCUUUGCUUGGUGUUGGGCGUCUUGUCUCUAGCUUUGCUGGAGACUCGCCUUAAAGUAAUUGGCAGCCGGCCUACUGGUUUCGGAGCGCAGCACAAGUCGCACUCUCUAUCAGCAAAGGUCUAGCAUCCAUUAAGCCUUUUUUUCAACUUUUGACCUCGGAUCAGGUAGGGAUACCCGCUGAACUUAAGCAUAUC
rnacentral:rRNA from 1 species